CUUGCUUCUCUUGAGAGCGGCGGACGGGUGAGUAAUGCCUAGGAAUCUGCCUGGUAGUGGGGGAUAACGUUCGGAAACGGACGCUAAUACCGCAUACGUCCUACGGGAGAAAGCAGGGGACCUUCGGGCCUUGCGCUAUCAGAUGAGCCUAGGUCGGAUUAGCUAGUUGGUGGGGUAAUGGCUCACCAAGGCGACGAUCCGUAACUGGUCUGAGAGGAUGAUCAGUCACACUGGAACUGAGACACGGUCCAGACUCCUACGGGAGGCAGCAGUGGGGAAUAUUGGACAAUGGGCGAAAGCCUGAUCCAGCCAUGCCGCGUGUGUGAAGAAGGUCUUCGGAUUGUAAAGCACUUUAAGUUGGGAGGAAGGGUUGUAGAUUAAUACUCUGCAAUUUUGACGUUACCGACAGAAUAAGCACCGGCUAACUCUGUGCCAGCAGCCGCGGUAAUACAGAGGGUGCAAGCGUUAAUCGGAAUUACUGGGCGUAAAGCGCGCGUAGGUGGUUUGUUAAGUUGGAUGUGAAAUCCCCGGGCUCAACCUGGGAACUGCAUUCAAAACUGACUGACUAGAGUAUGGUAGAGGGUGGUGGAAUUUCCUGUGUAGCGGUGAAAUGCGUAGAUAUAGGAAGGAACACCAGUGGCGAAAGCGACCACCUGGACUAAUUACUGACACUGAGUGCGAAAGCGUGGGGAGCAAACAGGAUUAGAUACCCUGGUAGUCCACGCCGUAAACGAUGUCAACUUACCCGUUGGAAGCCUUGAGCUUUUUAAUUGUCGCAACUUAAUGCAUUAAAAGUGCACCGGCCUGGGGGGAGUAACGGGC
rnacentral:rRNA from 1 species